UUGCACUGUUCGUUACCUGGUUCAGCUGUCAGUUUGAGCUCGGGCUCCAUUACAGUGCUAAAUUAACCUCCAGUUAGGCAGGGGAGUUGUGGCCCUCUAUGCUCACUCCCUGUUCACUUUCUGGAAACACAC